CCUCCUUCCACGCCUCCUCCCAGGCUAUUCCCCAUUCCCUCCUUCCACGCCUCCUCCCAGGCUAUUCCCCAUUCCCUCCUUCCACGCCUCCUCCCAGGCUAUUCCCCAUUCCCUCCUUCCACUCCUCCUCCCAGGCUAUUCCCCAUUCCCUCCUUCCACUUCCUCUGUGCCUUCCCCAUUCCCUCCUUCCUCCGCUGUUGCUCCCAGUAUGCCCGGGCAACCCCAUGGAAUUGGCGUCAGUGGGGUGAAGUGCCCGGAGCCCCCCCGCUGUGGUGGAGGGGGGUGGGUUUGUGUUGCUGUCUGCACUGGGGGAAGCUAAGAAGCUUUGAGCCCAGCCCGGUGCUCCUGGAAUAAACGCUGCUGACCAGUCAGAGCCUCCGAGCCAUUUCUUGCGGGAGGUCCUGCGGGGCGGGGGACAGGGAGUGGUGG
rnacentral:lncRNA from 1 species